UGACCGUGCACGUGAGUUUUUGAGCCAGGAAUAUAGUUCUUAUUAUUGGUUCAAAUCGCUCGCAGAAUCCACCCUGGCAA
rnacentral:pre_miRNA from 1 species